GACGAACGCUGGCGGCGUGCUUAACACAUGCAAGUCGAGCGAGGCCCCUCCUUCGGGGGGGUGUCCUAGCGGCGAACGGGUGAGUAACACGUGGGCAACCUGCCCUCAGCUCUGGGAUAACUCCGGGAAACCGGGGCUAAUACCGGAUACGACCUCCACGGGCAUCUGCGGAGGUGGAAAGUUUUUCGGCUGAGGAUGGGCCCGCGGCCUAUCAGCUAGUUGGUGGGGUAGUGGCACACCAAGGCGACGACGGGUAGCCGGCCUGAGAGGGCGACCGGCCACACUGGGACUGAGACACGGCCCAGACUCCUACGGGAGGCAGCAGUGGGGAAUAUUGCGCAAUGGGCGAAAGCCUGACGCAGCGACGCCGCGUGAGGGACGAAGGCCUUUGGGUUGUAAACCUCUUUCAGCAGGGACGAAGCGAAAGUGACGGUACCUGCAGAAGAAGCACCGGCCAACUACGUG
rnacentral:rRNA from 1 species